rnacentral:rRNA from 1 species
GAUGAACGCUAGCGGCAGGCUUAAUACAUGCAAGUCGAGGGGCAGCAUGAAUGUAGCAAUACAUUUGAUGGCGACCGGCAAACGGGUGCGGAACACGUACACAACCUUCCUAUAAGUGGGGAAUAGCCCAGAGAAAUUUGGAUGAAUACCCCGUAACAUAAUGAUGUGGCAUCACAUUAUUAUUAUAGCUUCGGCGCUUAUUGAUGGGUGUGCGGCUGAUUAGAUAGUUGGCGGGGUAACGGCCCACCAAGUCUACGAUCAGUAGCUGAUGUGAGAGCAUGAUCAGCCACACGAGCACUGAGACACGGGCCCGACUCCUACGGGAGGCAGCAGUAAGGAAUAUUGGUCAAUGGACGCAAGUCUGAACCAGCCAUGCCGCGUGAAGGAUUAAGGUCCUCUGGAUUGUAAACUUCUUUUAUCUGGGAGGAAAAAAGGCUAUUCUUAGUCACUUGACGGUACCAGAUGAAUAAGCACCGGCUAACUCCGUGCCAGCCGCCGCGGUAACAC